GUUCGUGUAUGUCUAUGAAAAGAUGGUGGUCCAAGUGAGAAUUACUGUUGUAGUCACAUCUCAAUUGCUUCUUUCCCAACCCCUCACCAAAUUUUCUUUGUUCAUUGUUGAUCUCUCUCACGUUCUGUUCUAUAAUUACAAAUCAUCUUCUUCUGUUAGGUGGUUUCAGCCUUAUCUGAAGGUCAAACCAUAGGCCCUAAGAUCAAGCAAUGAAUUUCAUGGCACAAGAAUUGUUUUUCGAUGGGAAAAUAAAAAACAUGCCCAAGAGAGGAAAUUUCAGAUUCCAACAAUCAAUUAAUUCCUAAGUUGGUUUUUCUUAGAUCCUGAUCCCUCAUCUCUCCUCAAACCUUCUUUUCCUUUCCACAUUCGAAUUACGUUAGAAGGUCUUUCGCUUUUGCCAGAUCUAUUGAAGAGAGAUACUAUGAGUCCUCCAUCCCAGAUUUUAUCGCCGUGGCCAUUUGGUUCACCGGUACUACCAAAAAGUCUCAUGCUUAUGUUACUCUUAGGGAUGAUUUUAUUAUCUUGGACCAUGAAGACCCCAGUCAUGCUUUUGGUUUCCAUUCCCAUUAUCAUAUUGAUGAAAAAUCUCCUCGUGCUCUGCCAUUAAAAAUUGGAGUUUGUAUCAUGGUGAAGUUGGGGAAUGUGAAUGUGUUUUAUUGAGCUUCCUUAAGUUGUGAAACUGAAUCUCUCUAUGUUUUCGGAAAAUGGCCAAUCAUACAGAUGACAGGUUGGAAUGGAAUUGCAAGAGGGUAGUAACAGCAAGAAGAAAAAUAUGUUCAACAAUAGUGAUGAGGCCAUGGUCGAAGCUCCCUGAGGCUUUGCUUGAUCUAAUAACAAAGUCACGGGAUGCUAUAGAGUAUCUAAUGUUUGGCUAUCUCUAUCAAACAUGGAAGUUAUGGGUCCGUUUGGAUUGAGCCUAUUUUUGCUGAAA